ACUUUACCACCCCCAGGUUUAUUCCUAUGCCUUCUCUUUGAAGUUUUUUGUUUGGUGUUAUGCUUAUGUUUCAUGGGGAUACUUCUAAAUUGCUUGCAAUAUCAACUGAAGAUGAAAGUAAAAAGAAGAGAGGUGACACCAAGGACCAUCCCCUAGGCCAGUGGUUCUUGAAUUUCUCUGAAGCAGAUGAGCUGUUACAACUUGUAGCUGCUCGUCAGCAAGUAAGCAAGCAUGAUUUACUUCCUAGGAUGAGUUUCAUAUUCGUGAAAUGUGAAAUGCGAAGCAUCUUUAUUUUUUCUGCUUCCAGUUACAUUUGGUUUGUUCACAAACUUGUUCACCCACGUCUUUUCAAAAUAAUUGGACCAUUAUCACAUAGAGAUGUCAAGAAAUUCAAAUGUUUGGAUAUUUUAACUGGAAUGUGUAGGUACAAGCUCAUAUUGCUAAGCUCAGACGACAAAUUAGCUUGACUGACGGGCAGAAUCAACAGUUCAAACCACUCUGAAUAGUGAACUUACAGUAGUCCUGGAAAUUUUGAGACUUCCACUUCCAGUUUAAACUGAUUUCGCGGCAAAGGCACGUGAUAGCAUAGUAAUGUAACUGAGAUAUGUAUUUUCUAAGACUUUGCUGAGUUUUGUCUUGUUUUCUUCCUUUUCAUGGCUUUUGAGCUCUGUACUAAUAAAAGCAUGGGAAA
rnacentral:lncRNA from 1 species